rnacentral:tRNA from 1 species
GGGGGUAUAGCUCAGCUGGGAGAGCGCUUGAAUGGAAUUCAAGAGGUCAGCGGUUCGAUCCCGCUUAUCUCCACCA